GACGAACGCUGGCGGCGUGCUUAACACAUGCAAGUCGAGCGAUGAAAGCCUUAUGAACUAUUCGUAGUGAUUGGGGCCGGAUUAGCGGCGGACGGGUGAGUAACGCGUGAGCAACCUGCCUUAAACAACGGGAUAGCCUCGGGAAACCGGGAUUAAUACCGUAUGAGACCCCGCCUUCACAUGAAGACGAGGUUAAAGAUUUAUCGGUUUAAGAUGGGCUCGCGUCUGAUUAGCUAGUUGGUGAGAUAAAAGCCCACCAAGGCAACGAUCAGUAAGCGAAUUGAGAGAGUGAACGGUGACAUUGGCCCACAGACACGGGCCAACCGCCGACGGGAGGCAGCAGUGGAGAAUAUUGCACAAUGGGGGAAACCCUGAUGCAGCGACGCCGCGUGAGCGAUGAAGGAAUUCGUUUCGUAAAGCUCUGUCCAAGGGGAAGAUAAUGACAGUACCCUUGGAGGAAGCCCCGGCUAAAUACGUGCCAGCCGCCGCCGUAAGAC
rnacentral:rRNA from 1 species